AUUCGACUCUUUCAGCCGACCAGUCGUUGUGUAUUUCAUUUAUUCGGCUCUUUCAGCCAACCAGUUACUGUGUACUUCUUCUAUUCGCCUCUUCUGCCGACAUUGAUCCCUGCACAGUUCAUAUAUUCAGCUCAUCCAGCCAAACCGAUUCUACGGUAAAGGUUUUCAAACUCUGCUGAUCCGAUCCCUCGUCAGACGAAUCGCUUGAUAUGUCGAAGAGCGCAAACUUCGAGGGUCACUAUCUGCAGCCGUUCCUCACCUCGACGCGCUUC
rnacentral:lncRNA from 1 species